GACGAACGCUGGCGGCGUGCUUAACACAUGCAAGUCGAGCGAGGCCCCUCCUUCGGGAGGGUGUCCUAGCGGCGAACGGGUGAGUAACACGUGGGCAAUCUGCCCCUAGCACUGGGAUAACCCCGGGAAACCGGGGCUAAUACCGGAUACGACUUCAGAGGGCAUCCUCCGAGGUGGAAAAGGCUUACUGGCUAGGGAUGAGCCCGCGGCCUAUCAGCUUGUUGGUGGGGCAAUGGCCCACCAAGGCGACGACGGGUAGCCGGCCUGAGAGGGCGACCGGCCACACUGGGACUGAGACACGGCCCAGACUCCUACGGGAGGCAGCAGUGGGGAAUCUUGCGCAAUGGGCGAAAGCCUGACGCAGCGACGCCGCGUGGGGGAUGACGGCCU
rnacentral:rRNA from 1 species